UUCCCCCCGCCACGUGGCGUCAGCCCAUUUCCUCUCUGCCCCCUCUCUCUCCGGUCCCUUCCCUUUCGAAAAUUUUAUGGUUUAUGGUGGGACGGAAUACCUGGGGGAAGCAAAAGCGCUCCGGCCCCAGAAACCACGGCAGAUAAAGAAGAGAGAGAAAGAAGAGAGGGAAGGGAGGGAGGAAGGGGGUGGCGAUUCCAAUUCUUGAAUCACUGCCGGUUUUAAAAAGCGUUCUUGGGGGGGUCGAUUCGAUUCUUUGCUCACCGGCCUCUCCUAAUUCCUACCUGUCCACAGCGCGUGUGUGCAAGAGAAAGAGAAAGAGACAGAUGGAGCGUGGAGUGUGAACCUGUGCCAGUGCGAAUCGUAUUCCUCCUGGUUCCCACAUAAGCCCCACCACUUUUACUUGCAGUUUCUGUCCCAUUUUCUCCUUCUCCUUCCCCCAUUCCGCCUUCUUGUAAGGGCGACCGUGUCGUUCGCGGAAGAUGCAGCGCAAUGGCGCGGAGGAUCGCCCCCGGAGAUCCUCCUUUGGGUCCGAGAAUUCCGUCGAUGUCGGCAACGGCGACGGUGUCGUGACCCAGGCCAAUGGCCACGACGGUGACGGUCAUUCUACGGGGUCCACUGACAUGAUUUCCCUAUUGACAACAUGCCUGGGGAUGCAUCAACUUCUGGAAAGUCAGAAUCAGACUCUGCCCAUCUUUCAACGAUUGGGCGUUGGACACAAAACCACAAACUUGGUCUUCUUACGGCUAAAUUGUUUGAUGAAAAAGUUCCUCUGAAAAAGAAGCUUAAAUGGUUAAAGCGAGCUGCUCCUGUAGACAGUGAUGGGACUGUGCAGUUUGAAGUUCCAGGAGAUGUUGCACCGCAAAGUCUUAAAUUUAACUGGAGUUGCUUAUAAUGGAGCUACUGAAGAACCAGUUC